ACGAACGCUGGCGGCGUGCUUAACACAUGCAAGUCGAACGGAAAGGCCCCCUUGUGGGGUACUCGAGUGGCGAACGGGUGAGUAACACGUGAGUAACCUACCCUUGACUUUGGGAUAACUUCAGGAAACUGGGGCUAAUACCGGAUAGGAGCUCCUGCUGCAUGGUGGGGGUUGGAAAGUUUCGGCGGUUGGGGAUGGGCUCGCGGCUUAUCAGCUUGUUGGUGGGGUAGUGGCUCACCAAGGCUUUGACGGGUAGCCGGCCUGAGAGGGUGACCGGCCACAUUGGGACUGAGAUACGGCCCAGACUCCUACGGGAGGCAGCAGUGGGGAAUAUUGCACAAUGGGCGGAAGCCUGAUGCAGCAACGCCGCGUGCGGGAUGACGGCCUUCGGGUUGUAAACCGCUUUCGCCUGUGACGAAGCGUGAGUGACGGUAAUGGGUAAAGAGGCACCGGCUAACUACGUG
rnacentral:rRNA from 1 species